GGGAAGGUAGCUCAGCGUUAGAGUGCAUGCCUUGCAAGCAUGAGGCCCUGGGUUCAAUUCCUCAGCACCA
rfam:Dipodomys ordii contig_7447, whole genome shotgun sequence.